ACCUGCGUGCUGAAAUGGUAGCCAGAAUAAACUUAAGAUUUAUUGUCCUAAAGGGCGUCAGGGUUCAAGUCCCUGCGCAGGUA
rnacentral:tRNA from 5 species